rnacentral:rRNA from 1 species
AACGCGAAGAACCUUACCUGGGCUCGAAAUGCUAUGGACCAGCUUAUGAAAGUAGGCCUUCCCGCAAGGGACCGUAGUAUAGGUGCUGCAUGGCUGUCGUCAGCUCGUGUCGUGAGAUGUUGGGUUAAGUCCCGCAACGAGCGCAACCCUUGUCCUGUGUUGCCAUACCGAAAGGUGGAACUCGCAGGAGACCGCCAGGGAUAACCUGGAGGAAGGUGGGGAUGACGUCAAGUCCUCAUGGCCUUUAUGUCCAGGGCUACACACGUGCUACAAUGGACGGUACAAAGGGCUGCCAACCCGCGAGGGGGAGCCAAUCCCAAAAAACCGUUCUCAGUUCGGAUUGCAGGCUGCAACUCGCCUGCAUGAAGCUGGAAUCGCUAGUAAUGGCGGAUCAGAACGCCGCCGUGAAUACGUUCCCGGGCCUUGUACACACCGCAUAC